rnacentral:lncRNA from 1 species
CAGGUGUAAUUCUAUAUGCAAAAAGUACAAAAGGUUUCAGCUAUGUUUCAAUUAAAGUACUGUAAAAAGCUUAUUAAAAAGUGAUUUGUCGGGCUGGGGAUGUGGCUCAAGUGGUAGUGCGCUGGCCUGGCAUGCGUGCGGCCCGGGUUCGAUCCUCAGCACCACAUACAAACAAAGAUGUUGUGUCCGCUGAUAACUAAAAAAUAAAUAUUAAAAAGUUCUCUCUCUGUCUCUCUCUCUUUAAAAAAAAAGGGAUUUGUCUAAAUUUAGAAAUUUUAUAAGGAUUGUUUCAGAAUGUAAAUUUAGGAAAGAGUCAGCACUGGAAAAAGAGAGAUAUAAAAAAAGUUAUAGGUAUGGAAAUAUAUUUUAGUAUGAAAAGUUAGAAGGAAAAAGAAAUGUUUCUGGGUGAGAAAGUAUUUCAUAUGGUAAACAAGUUGUAGAAUGUCUAAGUAAGUUGCACAAGGCUUGUGGAAGUAACUCUCAAAAAGUCCAUAUGUGUGAUUAAGUUGACUAUAAUCAGCACAAAGUUAUUUAAGUGUUUUUCCCUAAGGUUAACCUUUAAUAGGUGAAUUCUAUAUGUUUAGAAACAACAAGGACCCCUUAAAACAUUGAUCUGCUAUUAUUUAUCAAGACAACUUCUUGUGUCUAUUAGGUUUUAUUACUUUAAAAGUAAGUCUCA